rnacentral:rRNA from 1 species
UCGAGCGAGAAUCCAGCCCUCACAUUACCUGGGAUGAAGGAGGGAUAAGCUUCAAGAAAUAAAAAAUCUUGAGUGGUUCCAAUUGAUGGCAGGUAAGGUGAGGGCUGGAGAGUAAAGCGGCGGACGGGUGAGUAACGCGUGGACAACCCAUCCUUUGGUUCGGGAUAACCCUGCGAAAGCGGGGCUAAUACCGGAUAAUCUGCAUAUCUCCAGGGAGAUUUGCGGUAAAGUGUGCCUCUGAAGCAAGCAUACGCCAAGGGCAGGGUCCGCGUCCCAUUAGCUAGUCGGUAGGGUAACGGCCUACCGAGGCGACGAUGGGUAGCUGGUUUGAGAGGAUGAUCAGCCACAUUGGGACUGGAACACGGCCCAAACUCCUACGGGAGGCAGCAGUGGGGAAUCUUGGGCAAUGGGCGCAAGCCUGACCCAGCGACGCCGCGUGAGGGAAGAAGGCCCUCGGGUCGUAAACCUCUGUCAGGAGGGAAGAAAAUGCUAUAGAUUAAGAGUUUAUAGUAUUGACGGUACCUCCAGAGGAAGCGCCGGCCAACUCCGUGCCAGCAGCCGCGGUAAUACGGAGGGCGCAAGCGUUAUUCGGAAUUACUGGGCGUAAAGCGCGCGUAGGCGGCAACGUAAGUCAGGCGUGAAAGCCCUCGGCUCACCCCGGGGAAUAGCACUUGAAC